UUUCCGUAGGUGAACCUGCGGAAGGAUCAUUACCGUGAUUCACUUCUCAAGUGAACAAGGAAAGGCGUGAGAUGGUUUGUGAUAAUAGUUUACUGAAAUCACCCUCUCAUGAUCUGCCAGAUAUUAAAGCUGCUAAGUUAUGGAUUCACCCUUAUACAAAGGAACCUUUUCGUAAGGAUCUGGGGGAGUAACUAUUUCUUGUGCACUCUGGUAGAUACCCCAUGUACUAAUGCGUCAUGGGUUUGUAAGUCAAAGUACUGGAGUGGCAAAUUAAUCAGAGUUGUGAGAAGUAUGUGUUACUCGUUUGUUUCUUUGGGAAAUGCAAUUCGAAAUUUCAAAAAGUGUAUAUUAAAAUACUAUAACAAAACCAAAAAAAAAUCAACCUCGAGUGGUGGAUCACUCGGCUCGU
rnacentral:misc_RNA from 1 species